UGAGACAGUUCGGUCCCUAUCCGUCGCGGGCGCAGGAAAUUUGAGAGGAGCUGUCCUUAGUACGAGAGGACCGGGAUGGACGCACCGCUGGUGUACCAGUUGUUCUGCCAAGGGCAUCGCUGGGUAGCUAUGUGCGGACGGGAUAAGUGCUGAAAGCAUCUAAGCAUGAAGCCCCCCUCAAGAUGAGAUUUCCCAUUCCGCAAGGAAGUAAGAUCCCUGAAAGAUGAUCAGGUUGAUAGGUCUGAGGUGGAAGUGUGGCGACACAUGGAGCUGACAGAUACUAAUCGAUCGAGGACUUAACCAUAUUU
rnacentral:rRNA from 1 species